UUGAACGCUGGCGGCAUGCCUUACACAUGCAAGUCGAACGGCAGCGCGGGGCAACCUGGCGGCGAGUGGCGAACGGGUGAGUAAUAUAUCGGAACGUACCUGGAGUGGGGGAUAACGUAGCGAAAGUUACGCUAAUACCGCAUACGAUCCAUGGAUGAAAGCAGGGGACCGCAAGGCCUUGUGCUCCAGGAGCGGCCGAUAUCUGAUUAGCUAGUUGGUGGGGUAAAGGCCUACCAAGGCAUCGAUCAGUAGCUGGUCUGAGAGGACGACCAGCCACACUGGAACUGAGACACGUGUCCAGACUCCUACGGGAGGCAGCAGUGGGGAAUUUUGGACAAUGGGCGCAAGCCUGAUCCAGCAAUGCCGCGUGAGUGAAGAAGGCCUUCGGGUUGUAAAGCUCUUUUGUCAGGGAAGAAACGGGUGGGGCUAAUAUCCCUAUCUAAUGACGGUACCUGAAGAAUAAGCACCGGCUAACUACGUGCCAGCAGCCGCGGUAAUACGUAGGGUGCAAGCGUUAAUCGGAACUACUGGGCGUAAAGCGUGCGCAGGCGGUUUUGUAAGUCUGUCGUGAAAUCCCCGGGCUCAACCUGGGAAUUGCGAUGGAGACUGCAAGGCUAGAAUCUGGCAGAGGGGGGUAGAAUUCCACGUGUAGCAGUGAAAUGCGUAGAGAUGUGGAGGAACACCGAUGGCGAAGGCAGCCCCCUGGGUCAAGAUUGACGCUCAUGCACGAAAGCGUGGGGAGCAAACAGGAUUAGAUACCCUGGUAGUCCACGCCCUAAACGAUGUCUACUAGUUGUCGGGUUUUAAUUAACUUGGUAACGCAGCUAACGCGUGGAAGUAGACCGCCUGGGGAGUACGGUCGCAAGAUUAAAACUCAAAGGAAUUUGACGGGGACCCGCACAAGCGGUGGAUGAUGUGGAUUAAUUCGAUGCAACGCGAAAAACCUUACCUACCCUUGACAUGGAAGGAAUCCCUGAGAGAUUGGGAGUGCUCGAAAGAGAACCUUUACACAGGUGCUGCAUGGCUGUCGUCAGCUCGUGUCGUGAGAUGUUGGGUUAAGUCCCGCAACGAGCGCAACCCUUGUCAUUAGUUGCUACGAAAGGGCACUCUAAUGAGACUGCCGGUGACAAACCGGAGGAAGGUGGGGAUGACGUCAAGUCCUCAUGGCCCUUAUGGGUAGGGCUUCACACGUCAUACAAUGGUACAUACAGAGGGCCGCCAACCCGCGAGGGGGAGCUAAUCCCCAGAAAGUGUAUCGUAGUCCGGAUUGUAGUCUGCAACUCGACUACAUGAAGUUGGAAUCGCUAGUAAUCGCGGAUCAGCAUGUCGCGGUGAAUACGUUCCCGGGUCUUGUACACACCGCCCGUCACACCAUGGGAGCGGGUUUUACCAGAAGUGGGUAGCUUAACCGCAAGGGGGGCGCUUACCACGGUAGGAUUCGUGACUGGGGUG
rnacentral:rRNA from 1 species